rnacentral:tRNA from 1 species
UCCUUGUUUGUCCAUUGGCUAAGAUGUUCGCCUCUCACGCGAAGGAGCGGGGUUCGAUUCCCCGACAGGGAA